rnacentral:lncRNA from 1 species
GUACCCAAUCUCUCUCUCUCUAUAUAUAUAUAUAAAGUUGAGAAUUGGCCAGCUGUUGUGGCAUCCCUCUAUAGCCAGCUUUCAUAUUUAUCUUUUUUUCUGAUUUUUUUGAAUUGUUUCUGUUAUUUCACUCCAAUUCAUUUAUUUUUAUUAGCCCACUACUCAAAAUAAUAAAUACUACUUAAUGACCCAAAACAUUAAGCCCGAUAGCCGUUUAGUUUUGUCCUUUGACUAUAAAACUCCACAUAGCCGUUUUGUUUUCUUUAACACACCCCACGUUCUGAGCGAGUCUUCUCUCAAAUCCCAAGGUAAAAUUCCCGACCUUUCUUCGGUUCAUAACAUGGGAUAGCCGUUUGAUUUUUCCAACUAUCUUCUCCUAAUAAUUCUCCAUUCAUCCUCAGACCCUCCAAAGCAUACAACUAUACAAGCAUACUACCAAUGACCUGUCAGUAACACCAUUUCAAGCGAGCGUGCUGACGAGUGACUUUCGAUUUUCAUAAUGGUUCAAACAAUGUCAACAAAUUAGGUUCGUUUAUAUUUUGCCCUUUACUGCAAUAUGAAUGUGUUUUAUGAGUACUGUUAUGGUUCUAAUGCAAUGAACGAUACUUGAAAUUCUAUCUUUGGAUAUGAUUUUGUACGUUUUUUAUUUUCUCUGGUGUGCAUGUAUGGUGGCGCUCCACUGUUUUCUUUUUCUCUUUGCUGAUGUCUUUUCUAUUUAUAGGGAAAGUGAUUGAUGUACUGAAAUGGGAGGAAGAGCUAAUCAAGGAAAAUGUAUUUCCUGGGAAUGUCAAAUUUUUAGAGGACAAGUAUGAUAAUAUGCAGAAAAAAUUAGAGGAGUAAGAAUGGAGAUAUGAAUAGUAUGAAGAAGAGUGUAAUUUGAAAAGGAGAGUAAUCUUCUAUUUUUUUCCUUUUGUAUUUGCUGAAAAUAUUGUUGAAGCUAUUAAAAAUUAUGUAUUGAAUAGGGGAGAAAAUAAAGAGAAAAAUGUAAGAAGAUUUCUAAUGAUAGGCGAAGGGAAUGGACUUGAUUGCCAUUUUAUAUCUCUUCUUGAUUUUGGUUCUUCAAGUGGCAACAGUUCGAGCAAAAUGAUCAGGUAGCCCAUUUUUCUUUUUCUUCCUGUAGUUUAAUUUCUUGGCUUACCAACUAUAGAUUUGUUGCUUAAUCUUGGUUUGUACUGAAUUCAUAGCAGUGGCCAAGGUUUUUACUUUUUAAUCCUUAAAAAUUCAAGAAGGAAGGUUUAAAAAUUGGGAGUGCGUAUUUUUUGUGCAGUUAUCUAUGAAUUAUUAGCGUAAUUUGACUUUGACUUAUCAUUAAAUGUGUACUGUGCAUGUCUUUGUUAUCGGAAGUCCACAAUUCUUUAGUUGGAUUGCCACCAUUUGUUGUUUUAGUCUUUACUUGGUCGUAUUCAAGUGCAAUGAGAAGGUUCAACACUUCAGCUUAAUCAAUGUUAGAAGGAAAAAAAGACAGGUGGGCACAUCACAAAUUGCAUAAAAAAGGUAUGGUGGUGUCAAAACAUUUAUAAUGAUCAUUUUCUUAAGACUCAAACUUUUCUACACAAUAUAGUUUACCGACUAAAAAGAGUUCCUUAAAGUAGAGCAUUCUACUGUGACAGUAUAAAAAGGCCAAUAGUUCAACAAAGAAGCAAACAAGGACAAUUUACUCUAAUUAAUUAGUGUAAAAAAUAUGGGUAUAUAACCCUUUAUACUUUAAUUAUAAUUAAAUGACAUAUUCUUUUACUUUAAUUCUUUUUUCUACUCUUUGUUCUUGCAUUCCUAAAUAUACAAUUGAAAAUGAAAUUCCAUUGCAGAUAGUUAACUUUUUGGGAAUUUUUUAGAAAGUUUUCGCUCUAAAGGUUUUCUCCCUUCCAUCUUUAGUAUUUUUCUAUUGGUUCAUUAUUUUUUUUUCCUGAAUUUGAAUUUCUUUUUACUUAGAAUGUGCGAUGGUGAGAUCGAUCUCUGCUCCCUAUUACUUAUAUCAUACCUGUAAUAUUCAAAGUGUGAGGAAGAUAAUAAUGGAGUUGAAUGUGAUCUUUUGGAUAUCCCAUUGGCUCUUUGUUAUGUCUUUGUCGUUUCAUGGCUUUGGCUUUAAUUAUUUUCUUCUUCUUUUGUGUUAGUACUAUAGCUAAUGACAAGAAGAUUUAGGAACUUUCUUUCUUCUAUGCUAAUCUACCAUUAAGAAAUUCUUUUGGUGUUACGUUGAUUAUCAUUUGAAAAAUUAUACUCCACUCUUUUAUCCUAGAAAAUUGGUAUAAGUGUACGCAUAUUGCAUACUUUGUAGAGUAUAAUAAAAAACAGUGGUGCCUUCUAAACUCCCCCACUUGACCGUGUAAAGACCAUAAGUGCAACGAGGUUGGAUGUUAAUAUGAAUAAAAUAGUCAUAAUACAAAAAAUAGAAAUAAAGGCAGCAACACGGAUCGGUCCAGCAUAAUAUACUGGAAAUUGGUGCACCUGUGUAUGAACUUUCAGCAUAUUAUGCCGGAACUCCAACACGCGGAAAGUUCCAGCAUAAUAUACUGGAGAUUGGAGUACAUGUGUAUGAACUUGCAGCAUAUUAUGUUGGACCGGUAUAUUAUACUGGAACUCCAGUAUAUUAUGCUGGAAUAUUUUUCGGAUUUUGAACAGUGUUUUCGUUCAGAUUUAUCUUUACAUGAAAAGUGACUAAAUUUCGAUUACUUUUGAAAUUGUGGCUAUUUUUCAAUUACUACUUAUAAAUCUAGCUAUUUUUGAAUUUCUCCCUAGUUCUUGUUGGCAACAUUUGUUGAUCACUGUUUCCUAUGGGCCUUCUCAGUCCAAGUCCUCAGAAGACAGGACCCAUUUUUGGCACUUUAGGCCCAAGUUUGGACAUUAUUGAAAGGGAAAAUGACAUUGUAUAACCGCUUUAAAAAUAAUAGUCAAAAAAUAUUUAUUUAUUUUUUUGGUAUAUUUUGUGUAUAUACACACGCAUUAUGUAUGUUAUAUACAAAAAUUAUAUAAAUUUUAUACACUUUUUUGAGCUACCGAAUAUAAAUAAUUUCUAACACGAGCUAAAAGUGAAAAAAGCCCUUAUUGAAAACAUUACGCCACUCGAGCUGGCUGACAAUUACCAUAUUUUAACUCUAUGUUAAGGAAAGCUAGUUUAGAAAACCAAAUAAUAUUAAAGAAAGUAAAAUGGUCUUAGCUACAUAUAAUUUGUUUUUGAAAUGUAUUAAAACCUUUUCAGUUAAAGGAAAAAUAAGCCUUUGAUCUCCAAAAAGAUAAUAUAUGAACUUUCUCAAAUAAUAUGCUAUACCCAAUAAAAGAACAACAAAAAAAGAGAUGUAGACAUGGUCAAAUACUGGAAACUACUUGGUCUCCAAGUCCUAUUCUCUUAACUCCAAUUGGUCAGACUUGACUUGACUUUCCAUUCUUCUCCUAACUCUAACGCCCCAAUGAUGAAGACAUACUCCAUGCUCCCUUGCUCCCCAAGCAGCCAAGAAACUAUAAAUACCAUAUAAUUAAAAAAAGCAAUUGCAUAUAUUUGACAAUUUAAUAAACUAAAGAAGAGCUUAUUUUCUUUACUUAAUUCUUGAAGAAGAAGAGACAUGGCACAAGUUGGACCCUAUAUUGCUGAAAUUCAUGUAAUGCGGAAGCUCCACAAGGAGAAAAUGAAGGUGACAG